AAGGUAUGUGAUAAAAUCAUCCUGCUUGGGUAAAUUUGUCGUCACACCACAACUGAAGCUGAGUUGGAAUGCUUAGAACAGAGCCACGUUUGAAAGUGUGCAACAUCAUAUAAUUUUGAACUGAAGCUUCCUUGUUGUGCGUUAACAAACAUGUUAUAUUGUUGAUUUGCAAGAUCAUAGGCUUUCACAUAUCAUGUUUCAACUUUGCAGGUCAUAAUGUUGUACCGAGGGCAUAAAGUUGUAUCCAGGAUGGGCUUGCACCUGGUUGAGGUAGUGCUGCAUUUCCUUCUUCAAUUGUUUGAGCCCAAGUUUUAGCAUUUUCUUGAGAUUCUUCUUCAAUUGUUUGUGCGCGACUGUCAGCAUUUCCAUUUCUCAUGGUUAUCUUGUCACCUCCCAUGCAGGUCCAUCGGAAAUAGGACCAUCCUGCUUGCAAGAUCAUGGACUUCCACAAAGACAAGUAUAACAAGGAUGUCAAGUAGAAAGAGCACGUAAAAACCAAGGUAUGUGUGUUGUGCCAUCACUACUGACGCUGAGUUGAGAUGCUUAGAGCACAGCAAAUAUAUUCCAUGUGCUGGCUAUUUUAUUUGUAAAGAAUUUUGUUUUUCUCAAGGGAAGGGAGGAGUAAAUGAGAUGGUGGGAUUGACUCUAACCUGUCAAUCUGCUGGUUUUGAUGGCUGUAGUAUGUGUUGUUCAGUUGCAACAUAAGACAUGGUUGUGCAUGUUUUGAUCCUUGUUGUGGAAUCGAAACAACUCCUUGUAUAGUUUAUUUGAUUAUUACUGCCAGUAUUCUGCAUGUGAGCCAUGGUGUUGAUUUCAAGUGGAAGAACCGCUGUCCGUUGUUUUCAGGGUCCAAGAAGUAUGUUUUCUUGUAUUUAGUUUUUGUUUUGACCUUGUGAAACUUGCUACCUAUGGAUGAAACUGUGUAAUAUUGAUGAAACUAUGUAUAUGUACGGAUGAAACUUGCUACUAUUGGUAACAUGGUUGGAUACAUAUGUGUUCAUGACUAUUGGUAAUAUGUGUUGAAUAUGCUAUAUUGGUCAUAUAAAUAUAUUUGUGUUUGAUUUCUGUGAAAAUGAAUUGAUAUAAGAAAAAUCAAAAUUAAAUGGGGCAAUAUAGUCACUUUGCCAUCUACUGGCAGAUGGCAAAGAGCUUUGCCAUCAGCUGGCAGAUGGCAAAGAGGCCACGUGUCAUGUUUGGGCUGGCCUAUUUGGGCUCUUUGCCAUCAGCUGGCAGACGGCAAACAGCCUGCAGCCUUUGCCAUCUGCUGGUAGAUGGCAAAGUAUGUUGUUAGCCUUCUAACGGGGCUAACCCCGUUAAGAGGCUUUGCCAUCUGCCAGCAGAUGGCAAAGCCACAGGCUCUUUGCCAUCAGCCAGCAGAUGGCAAAGCCACAGGCUCUUUGCCAUCAGCCAGCAGACGGCAAAGAAGCCUUUACCGGCAGGGUUUCGGACGACUGGUUUGCCAUCUGCUGGCAGAUGGCAAAGCCUUUGCCAUCCGCCGAUCAUGCCUUUGCCAUCUGCCAUGGCAGAUGGCAAACUGCCAGAUUCCAGUAGUGAGUAUGUAUAACAGUAGCCCCUGAGACUUGAAACGGUUGGAACAACAGUUUUAAGUAUCAAUUUAUGCGCAGGUUCUUGUAGAUAAGGAUGAGCAAUUGUCUCGGGAGCUGGAAGAGUGCAAGACCCAACUAAGGGUCACAAUUGCCAAGCUAGAGGAAUCCCAGAAGGCCUCAUACG
rnacentral:lncRNA from 1 species